rnacentral:snRNA from 1 species
UGGGGUUCGACGACAACAA